CAAGUCUACUUUGGGAUAAUAUUUAAAUUCUUUCACUUAGAAAUAAAGAAAACUAUGUAAAAGAAGUGUAGCCCUAACAUUAGUUUAAGAAAAACCCAAUACCACCACCAACAGAUUUUUAAUAAUGCAACCAUUUGUUGUCCCUGACUUCUAGACAGAGCAGUAUUACUCUUGUAAUACUGUGCUCAUGUUUAGGUUGGAUCCUUUGAAAAUCUUAUGAAAUCCUGGAACUAUAAGGCACAGAAAAAAAGCGAUGGGAGAAUGUAUACAUCUUUGCCUUCUUUGUUUGUUUACUUCAGCCUGGAGAUGUUGAAAAAAUAGUAUAUUAAUGAAGAACAGUACUUUCUAUCUUGCUUCUUAAAAAAUUGUGACAAUAGGAGAAAUCCUUGUUUUGUAAAGCUUCCAAUAAUACAUCUCACCAUAGAUUUAGAAAUAAAUGUCUAGGUCAUGUUGAACUUUGAGUUAAAAAAUAAAUUAAUACAAUAAUCUUUUUUAGACCAACAACUUACUGGUGUUUAUUUAAGAAAAUGCCGAAAAGGAGAAAAUAAAAAAAUUGAAAAAAAAGUGUGGAUAAUUUUCCUUUUUUGAAAACUCACUUCUUCCAUAGUACUUCAAAAAGUUAAUUACCUGGCUUUCACUCAGAUUUCUCAAAGGGAAUUCCGUGUUAAGAAAUGGCUCCUGAGAGAGAGCAUAAGAGCUCUCUGAGGCUCUUACUGAUGUACCACUGACAGUGACGAGCACAAGCUGAUGACAUGUCAUAAACAGAAAACUGAAAUGAAUACGAAAAAUUGCCGUAUGCCAGUUAAUGUCUCUGGAACCUUGUGGAGAGGAAAGCCCUACCUGUGCAGAACCAGCUGUAAGAUCAGACCUCAUUUCUCUAAAGAAGAUCAGCUUGGAUUAUUUGAAGUAAUAACAACAUGCUUUAUGUCUUUACAGUAAGGCUAUGAGCCUACAAGUGGAUCAACAUGAUCGAUCUGUACACCUUUGCUAAGUCCCAGUGAUUCUAAUUAAACUUGAUUGUAGGAUCCAGCUUAUACUUGGUGGUGUUUCUGCAAUGAGCUGUGCCCAGAUGGACUCUUAUGCUUGCAUUGAAUGCACU
rnacentral:lncRNA from 1 species